UAAAUACUCUCUAGUGACCGAUAGUGAACCAGUACCGUGAGGGAAAGGUGAAAAGCACCCCGGAAGGGGAGUGAAAUAGAACCUGAAACCGUGUGCUUACAAGUAGUCAGAGCCCGUUAAUGGGUGAUGGCGUGCCUUUUGUAGAAUGAACCGGCGAGUUACGAUUUGAUGCAAGGUUAAGCAGUAAAUGUGGAGCCGUAGCGAAAGCGAGUCUGAAUAGGGCGUUUAGUAUUUGGUCGUAGACCCGAAACCAGGUGAUCUACCCUUGGUCAGGUUGAAGUUCAGGUAACACUGAAUGGAGGACCGAACCGACUUACGUUGAAAAGUGAGCGGAUGAACUGAGGGUAGCGGAGAAAUUCCAAUCGAACCUGGAGAUAGCUGGUUCUCUCCGAAAUAGCUUUAGGGCUAGCCUCAAGUGAUGAUUAUUGGAGGUAGAGCACUGUUUGGACGAGGGGCCCCUCUCGGGUUACCGAAUUCAGACAAACUCCGAAUGCCAAUUAAUUUAACUUGGGAGUCAGAACAUGGGUGAUAAGGUCCGUGUUCGAAAGGGAAACAGCCCAGACCACCAGCUAAGGUCCCAAAAUAUAUGUUAAGUGGAAAAGGAUGUGGCGUUGCCCAGACAACUAGGAUGUUGGCUUAGAAGCAGCCAUCAUUUAAAGAGUGCGUAAUAGCUCACUAGUCGAGUGACACUGCGCCGAAAAUGUACCGGGGCUAAACAUAUUACCGAAGCUGUGGAUUGUCCUUUGGACAAUGGUAGGAGAGCGUUCUAAGGGCGUUGAAGCAUGAUCGUAAGGACAUGUGGAGCGCUUAGAAGUGAGAAUGCCGGUGUGAGUAGCGAAAGACGGGUGAGAAUCCCGUCCACCGAUUGACUAAGGUUUCCAGAGGAAGGCUCGUCCGCUCUGGGUUAGUCGGGUCCUAAGCUGAGGCCGACAGGCGUAGGCGAUGGAUAACAGGUUGAUAUUCCUGUACCACCUAUA
rnacentral:rRNA from 1 species